rnacentral:rRNA from 1 species
CAGUCGCCGCGGGAAUACAGAGGGUGCGAGCGUUAAUCGGAUUCACUGGGCGUAAAGCGUGCGUAGGCGGCUUCUUAAGUCGGAUGUGAAAUCCCUGAGCUUAACUUAGGAAUUGCAUUCGAUACUGGGAAGCUAGAGUAUGGGAGAGGAUGGUAGAAUUCCAGGUGUAGCGGUGAAAUGCGUAGAGAUCUAGAGGAAUACCGAUGGCGAAGGCAGCCAUCUGGCCUAAUACUGACGCUGAGGUACGAAAGCAUGGGGAGCAAACAGGAUUAGAUACCCCAGUAGUCCCUGUCUCUUAUAC